rnacentral:ribozyme from 1 species
AAUAGUAUUGCCCUAUAACGGGAUAGUGUCUGAAGCCUCCUGAAGAUUCCAUUCAACUCCUAUUCCGAUACGUCCACGUCGUGCAGGGUGGUAACAUCAGCCCAACCCCAACCUUCCGGGCGGACGAUGAUGGUUAAGGACGAAAGGG